CCAUAGCCCUGAUAGAAGCGGCAUCCUUUUUUGUUUUUAUGGAUCAUUUUCUAUCGGAUGAGAGAGCGUGGAAAAACAAAAAAAAUACAGCGGAUAGCGGGAAAUAGC
rnacentral:sRNA from 1 species